CCUGGUCCUGUGACCUCCUGAUGUCCCACGGAAAGGCCCCGUGGUCCCUCUGGGAUGACACAGUGGCCCCUUGCCUUUCAGAUGAAUAUUGUGUAUUCCGGGAUCCCUGAGUAUGUCGGGGUGAACAUCACAAAGCUACGUCUUGGCAGUGUGGUGGUGGAGCAUGACGUCCUCCUAAGAACCAAGUACACACCAGAAUACAAGACAGUAUUGGACAAUGCCACCGAAGUAGUGAAAGAGAAAAUCACAAAUGUGACCGCACAGCAAAUAAUGAUUAAUGAUAUUUGCUCAGCCAUGAUGUGUUUCAACACCACUGGCACCCAAGUGCAAAACAUUACGGUGACCCAGUACGACCCUGAAGGUAGGUGAUAACACAAGGGGUUUGGGGGAAGGCUGGAGAGGUGGGGAGCCCAGGAGGAGUGGGACAGUGUCCCCCCAGCCCUCUGAUCACGGCUGCUCCCUGUCCCUGCACCCCCCACCAGAGGACUGCCGGAAGAUGGCCAAGGAAUAUGGAGACUACUUCGUAGUGGAGUACCGGGACCAGAAGCCAUACUGCAUCAGCCCCUGUGAGCCUGGCUUCAAUGUCUCCAAGAACUGUAGCCUCGGCAAGUGCCAGAUGUCUCUAAGUGGACCCCAGUGCCUGUGAGUGCUCCCCCAUCUCCUCCAGCCCAGCCCAGACGUCCUGG
rnacentral:lncRNA from 1 species